ensembl:lncRNA
CUAGCAUUAAGCAGAGAUAAUAAAAUAAUCUCACCGCUUUAAAACAAUUUUCUAAAGAAAGCAUCUUAUAAAAUGUUAAAGAGACAAAAAGACAAGGCUGUGCAUAUCAGGCAUAAAACUGGAUUUUUCAAUUUCCAGUGGCUUAGAGGCAUGAUGAGAUGGGAACACGGCCAAGAACUAAAUAAAAAAUUCAAGCAAAUUACAAUAAAGACCAUCAGCAAAGAGUUCCACUUAAUGAAUCCUGCUUUAUCUGUCUGUUGUUCUGACCUCAUUUCUCAGACCUGCAGGGGGAUCCUGAGAACAAAGCCUUGAUUAGCUCCAAGACAAUUUCAGGAACUACUCUAGAGCCUCUAAAUGAUAAACUUUAAAUGACAGUGUCUACCAACAACAGGACAUCACCCUCUAGUCUCUUCCAGCUGCCAGUUUCCCAUAGCAAAGCCAUCCAUUUCACAGGCUGGUUUACCCUGUAGCUGCAACACCACCAGUCUGGAAAGACCAACCUCUUGUCAGCAGAGUUCUUCCCUAUUACAGGAACCUGAUUCUGCCUUGAGCUGGGAGAGGCAGUGACCCAGCACAAGCUCUGUGUGUGCUUUAUACUCUCCUGGCUGAUCUUACUGUUUAUGUAAUUGCAUCUCAACUGCUGCUUUCUUAUCACAAAGUCAUCUAUUGAAAAUUCAUACUGAACCACAAAGCAAAUGUGAUAGGAACAAACAUGUCCAUAAUAUCCUAACCUGGAAACUGGAGCUGGAAAUCUAAUUAUAUUAACAGUAAUUCCCUCCUCAGGCUUUUAAACUAACCAGCGCUUUUAAAAAGUUAUUAUUGAUUAAUUUAAUUGCUCCAUAGGACAGCAAGAGCAUGGCAGGAAGGCUGGCAUGGAUAUGGAGUCCUCCAGAAUCACAGCUGCUGAAUUUUACACCUGUGUUUUGCUAAGGUUUAAUGAGCUCUGGUUCACUCUGCUUGCUCCUUGCCAGGCACAGCUGCGAGAUGCUGGCACAGGGUGCCUGGGGACCUGCGGCUGUCCCAGCCCUGGAAGUGCCCCAGGUUGGAGCAGUCUGGGAUCGUGAAGGUGUCCCUGCCCAUGGCAGGGGGUGGGAUAGGAUGAGCUUUAAUGUUCCUUCCAACGUAAACCAUCCUGGAGUUCUCUAAGUCUGUGCAGUGCUCACGAAGCAACAAAUCUGAAAUCAAACCCAUGGCGCUGCAGCCUGGCACAGACUGAUUUACCUGCUCAAGCAAAGCACGCUCAGAAAUUGGCUGGCCUGGAGCCUUCUCAGCAAACAUUGAAGCAACAAGCAAUUCACUGAAUACUGAUUGAUAGGGAAAAAACUUACAAAACCACUCCUUGCAGCACAGUAAAAAACAAAAUAUUGCAUCAAUACCAAUGAAACAAUGUCCCCAGAUGGGGGAAAACACUCACAUUUGGGAGAGCAAGAGGGAGAAGUGGUCUACAAAACCACUGUUCUGUGUCAGCCCCUCCCUGCAGCUCUGGGAACACGUGCCCUUCCAGGCCAUCACCUAACUCCUAUUUGUAAUCUGAUUUGAUGGAUGUAAUCUGAUCAGAUGGUCUUAUGCAGGUCAACCACAUUCCUGAUUUACAUAGCCAUGAGAAGCAUGGAAAACGUGAGUUUGAGGUGGUAAAUGUGGUUACUUUGAGCUGUUGGAGGAGUGAUCCAGUUGGUGUUCAGCUAAUUCCUGCACAACAGGGUCUCCUUUUCCUGUGGUUUCAGACUGCUGCACACAAGUCUCUGUCCUGCACUGAUUUUUCAAGCAUUUUUAGGAUAACAUAAUGGAGGUUUUGUUCACUUAAGACUAGCCAAAUGCUUUCUGUUUUCAUGGAGUCUUUAAUUCUGGGUUAAUUUCUCAGGAAUGAAAUAUAAUUUAAUUCUAUUUAAACCUCUUUCUGGCUUAGGGACAUCAGCAGAGUAUUAAUUGUACUCUUUAUUUUUGUCCAUCUCACUUAGCAACAGCAGAGUAACACUCACUUUGCUAUUACACCAGUAUGUUAUUAACUCUGUAUUUUUCUGAUAUUUUUGGAAUACAAACACUCAGGUUCUCUCCGUAUACACUACACAACCCCACACAGAUAAUGUAUAUGUGUAUAUAUACACUGUACACACACACACAACAUACACGUGUAUGGGCUUGGUAGUUUGAAGCUUUAACCACAGAAAAGAAUGUUUGUUCUUGGGAAAUACAGAGACUAUUUCAAAGGACACAAAGAACCUGAAAAAAUUCAUAAAACUAAAACCUGGAGAGGACAAAAAAUUAUCACAGUAAGAAUAAAAAACCAGCAUUCUUAAAGCAAAAAUAUGAUAUGUAAGCCUUGCAUGCACAGCUGAUUCUUUCCUCUAAAGAUUCACAGCUUUAGGGAGUUGGAGCUGCAUUUCUGCACCCUGGAGACCACCACAGCCAGGUUUAAAUGUCUCAACAUCCUUUGUAAGAACAUAGACAGAGAACAGGUCAGAGUGUGAGGACAUGUACUCUUUGCUGCCUCAAAGUGCCAAUUUCUCUGAGCUGAGAAAACUGGGUGUAAGGAGGAGGGGGAGAUUAGUGUGAAAAAAAGGUUUAAGAAUUUGCCUUAACAAGAUUUAGUGAGAUGUCUGCAAACAUCAGCAGCAAGCUGUAAUGAGGUUUGAAAGUCAUAAUAAAGAUGAAAAAGAGAGUGCAGCAAUAAAAACUAUAGCAACAAAAAUAGAGGAAAACCAACAACAAUAUCUGUUAGAGGUGAGAAUAUGCAGAAAACUUGCACAGAAAGCUGAAGAGUAGGAAAUAAACUUCUGGAGGCCAGAGGCCAACAAUAAAGUCAGGGAACAUUACAAGAUGAAGACAAGCUGUUGAUGCAGAGUAAGUGCAAAGGCUUCACUAAGUACUUGUGCUUUUGAAAACAUAGUGACUGAACAACCACACACAGAUCUGCAACAAAAAUUAUUGAAUAAAUAUAUAAGGAAUAAAAUAUUUUAAACUCAACAUUAUUAGCUAGCUAAUGCUCAUUACAAGAAGUCUGGAAUACUGAGGAAAUUUCAAAACAUUAAAAGAAAGUGCUAAUAUAAUGGCAAUAUUUAAGGAAAAAGUGUUGACCCAGGUAACUCUCCACCAGCCAGGUAAAAUAACAGAAAAUUGAGACAGGAUUUGAGCAAUAAAGAAUUAACGGAUGAAAAUGUAAUUACUGAUGUUACAUAAAAUAGGUCAUGCCACAAAAACCCAAUUUCAUUGUUUGCAGUGAUUACAAAUUUGGUUGUUAAAGCAAUUGCACAGAUGCAAUGUCUUUGGUUCCAUCUGUGCAGAGCUCCCCUGUCAGGAAGGUUUAGAGCUGUCAUCCCUGUGUGGGGAUACUGAGUGCGGGCAAUUAUCAACCACUGGAGCAGUUGGUUUAAUCUCAGUGGUACCUUUAUGCACUGCAAGGUUUUUACCCAGCCUCUGAACACUCUGCACUGUACUGGGGAAAUACCUGACCAGGUAUUAAGAGUGAAAAUUCAUUUAUCUGGAAAGGCAAUAAAUGACUCUGAGUGGAGCUUGGGGCCAAUGUGAGUGCUGCUUAUCAGCUCAGCCCCAUGCUGAUAUGGUCACAGAACCUCCUGGCUGCUGCCUUUCCCUUGCUGGCACUGUUAUCCUGCCCAUCAAAAGGGUGGUAUUGAUGUAUAUUCAGUCAUUUACACAAACUGUCAAGCUGGCAAAAAAGCUCCUGGAUUGUCCUUAUGGCUGUGACCAUGGAACAUUCAUUACUGAGCUCUCUGAUGGGAGUGAGAUCCCAUAAGCUACAGGGAGAAGCAAGACAAAAGACUGUGCAGGACAACAAAGUCCAGUGUCACAAUUUGUGAGUGCCUGAGGCUUCUUCCAUGCAGUUUCCUAAAAUCCAUCAUCCACAGUCUGAUACUUAUGGAUCUGUUUCUUUGGUUACCCUCCUGCUGACCUGCAGAGACUCAGUGAUAGAAAUUUUUAAUGUGCUUUUAUAGCCCAGCUUUGCAGCCCUGUUCUGGAACAGCCAGUUACACUGUUAAUUAUUUAUCUUUAACCUUUCUGUUAACCAAACCAAUCCAUUCCCUGACAUCAGUGAUUUUACUCUUUCAUUAAGUGAAUGAUGGUGUGCUGAUGUUCUACAGGAAGUGCUUCAAGUGAUAUCUGUAAAUAGAAUUUAGUAAUUAUAAAAACCUUGGGUUCAUUCCCCAGGAGUCUCCGUAAUGGGCUACAGAAAUUCAGUGCAUACCAGAAGCUCGUAUGUAACAGUAAUUUAAUAGGAUUCUCUGUCACUGAUCAAUGCCUAAAAUAAAAGGAGGAACAGUCAGAAGUUAUCAGACAUUAUUCCUGCUCACUCUGCCCCUGGUAGUGGUACAACACAAAGAAAACUUUGUGAUCCCAUGAGCAGGUUACUUACAGAGCAGGCCCACUCUUAUUUCCAUGAAAUAUGCAGCUAUAGAUAGUAAAGUAAAAACAUGUCCACACUUGCAAACAACCAAUAAUUGGAAGCUCUGCUGAUGAAAAACAGACAAAAGCAAUCAGAUUCUGAAAGAUGAGUAUUCUGGUAGAGGAAUUAUUGCCAACUCCAUCCAGUUCCAGCCCUCCACUGAUAAAAGGAAAUAAGAUCCUGAUAUGCUGCCAUAGAAACAAGUGUUUUUGCCAGGUUUUGCAUUUAAACAGCCUGUGGCUGCUGAAUUUUCAAAGCUAUUCUGCCUAUUCGAGUCUCUGUAACUGCUUGAAACACAGCUCUCAUCUCUCAAAUUUAUAGAUUCACAGGCUGCUCUUCUCUUUCUUUCCUAGGAUUAGCAGCAGCAUUUCCUAUCAACCACAGAUUAAAACAGCAAAUCUCUUUGUUGCAUAUCAUAUGCCAGCAAUCUCCAUUUAUGGUCUGAAAAUGCUUCAUAAUCCAAUUUGCUGUUUGGCUCAGAUGAUAGCGCCCUUUGGAUUUGGUUUCAUUUCUUUGGAAAGUCUAGAUAUUUGUUAGUCUAAGAUACACAAUCACUGUGCUGAGGGCAAAGCAAAAAAAAAACAAACAACAAAUCGGCACCAAAGACAAUCCAGAGCCUCCUGCAGUAUUGUCAAGGAUGAACAGUACCAACCCAGUAGCAUAAAAAUGCUAAAGGUAAAACUCUGCCCCAGGUGUGACAGAAUAGAAGAAGUAAAUGCUCAAUAUUUGUCUUUACAGAACUGAAUUUUCAAUCCACCUUUAUGUUUAAAAAAAUAGGAUAUUUACUUUAAAAAGCUACUAAAAUGUAGUAUUACAUAUAUUUAUCAAUUUUAACAAAGAUCAAACAUAUUUGUAUUGUAGUCUAUAAAUAUUUUAGUAUAAAUUGCUUAAAAUAUUGAAAAUCCGGUUCUGAAAAGUAUACUUCCUCAGUGGAACCUAACUAUAAGUGUGUAAAACUCAAGUAAUGUGUUUUCCUCUUGUAAUCUUCAAAAGUUCUCACUGGUUGAGUUGUCCUAAAAACUACCCUUCCAGUCCUGAUCCCACAUCAUUUGUCUGUUCCAGACAAAAAUAGGGCCUACAAUGCCCCAAAAUUCUGCUGCUGACUAGUAACAGAGUAAAAUUGUCAUGAUCCUGUUUUCUAUACCUCUAUAAGCAAUUAUAUUUUACUGUAGCAAAGUGAACUCUUACUUUUUGAUUCUAUUAAGUCAGCAAAUUGAUUUUGUGAGUCCUGCAGCUGAGCCUUGAUGUCUCCUAUUAAAUCAUCUUUUUCAUCACUCUUUAUGGUUAGAGCUGAAAUCAAACAGAAUAAGAAUAGCAUUAUAAUGAAGGAAAAAGGACAGAUUCUACUUUCAGUUGUCCCUGUGUCUAAUAAGCAGAAUUCAAGUUAAAUAAAGUGGCUGGUCUUAGCCAAGUAUUGAUCAAGUCUUGGGAAAGUUCUCCAAAAUCAAAACACAAAUUCCAACAGAAUUAAAAGCAGAAUUGAAGAGCAUUUACGUUUGCUGGACUUCUCUGUGAAGUGACCACAGAAAUCUCAAAGUAAUGCUUCUAAAAGAGAGAAAAACCCCAUAAUAUGUGUCACAGGAAUGCACAAACUUCCUGGGCCUGAGGAUUAAUAAUGUAAUGACCUUUACAAUAUAACAGUUAAACAUUCCUGUUCAUGCCAGCACUGUUGUCAGCACAAAAAAAUGCUUCAUAAAAAUAAAUUUGUAUUACUUACUCAUCUUCCAGUUUUAAAGUGAGUUUUUCAUGUUCAAACUAAUUUCAAAGUGAACAAAUAGGAAACUACAUUGUUAUUGAAAAAUAUCCUAGAAAUAAACUUUUGUUUCUCAAAUCUCGCAUGGAAAAGUAUUUUUGUUCAUCAGAAGACAGAAGUCUGAUUAAUCUGAUAUUCCAUGCUGAGUCAUCUUUUGCAUGAAAGGAAGAAUAAAAAUCAAUAAUUUACCAGCAACUGAAACACUUGCAGUUUCUUCACCCACACAUUCACACAGGACAGGUGCACACCCCUGCUCAGAAUAAUCAUUUUCUCAUUGUAAAAAUCAACAUGCAACAUUCUUUAGUAUUUAAUUGUAUUAGUAAUAUUGUCAUGCUAAAUCAAGAAGCAUUUUCUCUUUGGUUCAUCUGUUCAGUGUAUAUUGUACUAUCCUGGCCUGCAGCUCUUGAAUGUCUUUAUGCUGUGCUUCAAUAACCUUUCUAUUUUCUUGCACUUUCUUUCUGGUUUAGUUCUGAUUCCACAGCCAGUUUCCACUGCUUGAUCUUCUCAGUGUCUUUGUAGAGUUUCCAGUACAAUUCAUUCAUUAUUUCUACACUCUAUUAAAACAAGUUCCACAAUUUAAUCUCAAAUGCUGUUUAGUUAAUAAUGUUAUAAAUACCUGUUUAUCUCUUCAAAACACCACAAGAGUAAAUUCUUUUCCACAGAGGAUGGAACAUGAUUAGGAACAUGAUUUGUACAUGAUUAAGAACCAAGGUUUGACUCUUGGUGCAGCUGCUGUGUUUGAAGGAACAGACAUUGCAGGACAAGGAGGAGACAAACACAAGUGGAAAAUCCCCCAGUGCCUUCAGCCAUGCCCAGAGAGAAGUGAAAUCCGAAAUCCACGGAAAUCAGCACUGGGGCGUGGGACGGGCAGGGCUGGGGCAGGGCUCUGGUUCAGGUGUGAUGUCCCCACAGCCCCUGGGCUUGGCUGCACCACACUAACGCUGCAGUUAGUCCUCAGGGAUAGGAAAAUCAGGAGGAGAAUGGCAAGAAAUAAGUGCUAUUUUGUAGCAGCAAACAGCAUUUUGUAUCUGGGCAACACAGAAGUACUGAAAAGAAUGAGCUUUGCUGAGCUGUAGUGAAGCAGUUGGUGAAGACACUGUGAGAAGAAUUAAAUUCUAGAGAAACUAUUCCACUAAAUGCAUUGUUUAUAGAUAAUGCCAGACAGUGCAACUGGGAUAAUCUAUUUCAUUUUUCCAAAGAAUACUUUGGCUUCAAUCCUUCUACCUUUCAACAGACUAUUCAAAACCAAUUUCACAAAGAUAUUUAAGUGCCUAAAUCUUAUUCUGAUUAAAACUUACAGUUCUCCCUGGCACUUUAAAAGAAAAACAAACCAAACAA